rnacentral:siRNA from 1 species
GACAUCGCACCCCAACCAGGAG